AUAAUGAUGAAUAAUGUAUAAAUGUGCCCUCUUUAAAUUUGACAAAUUGCUGGAAAACCCUAAGUUAGGAUUAUCAGCAGGAAACUAAAAGACGGAUAAAUAUCUUUUAGGUCUUCAGAGACUAGAUGUUAAAAAUUAAUACGUUAUAAUAACCUAUUAAUUAAGGUAUAGUCCAAUCAAUAUAGAGAUAUACUG
rnacentral:ncRNA from 1 species